GUAGAGAUGGCUCAGUGGAUAAGAGCACUGACUGUUCUUCCAGAGGACCGGGGUUCAAUUCCCAGCACCCACG
rnacentral:tRNA from 1 species